GGGGCUGUAGCUCAAUUGGUUAGAGCAUAUUCGGUUUUUAACUCUCCUUUUAUCCCGAAUAGUUUACAGGUUCGAAUCCUGCUCAGCUCCUUCA
rnacentral:tRNA from 1 species